rnacentral:rRNA from 1 species
CCUACGGGAGGCAGCAGUGGGGAAUAUUGCACAAUGGGGGGAACUCUGAUGCAGCGAUGCCGCGUGAGUGAAGAAGUAUUUCGGUAUGUAAAGCUCUAUCAGCAGGGAAGAAACUGACGGUACCUGACUAAGAAGCCCCGGCUAACUACGUGCCAGCAGCCGCGGUAAUACGUAGGGGGCAAGCGUUAUCCGGAUUUACUGGGUGUAAAGGGAGAGCAGAUGGCUGAGCAAGUCUGAAGUGAAAGGCGGGGGCCCAACCCUCGGACUGCUUUGGAAACUGUAAAGCUGGAGUGCAGGAGAGGUAAGCGGAAUUCCUAGUGUAGCGGUGAAAUGCGUAGAUAUUAGGAGGAACACCAGUGGCGAAGGCGGCUUACUGGACUGCAACUGACGUUGAGGCUCGAAAGCGUGGGGAGCAAACAGGAUUAGAUACCCGAGUAGUC